rnacentral:rRNA from 1 species
GACGAACGCUGGCGGCGUGCUUAACACAUGCAAGUCGUACGGUAAGGCCCUUUCGGGGGUACACGAGUGGCGAACGGGUGAGUAACACGUGAGUAACCUGCCCACAACUUUGGGAUAACGCUAGGAAACUGGUGCUAAUACUGGAUAUGUGCUCCUGCUGCAUGGUGGGGGUUGGAAAGCUCCGGCGGUUGUGGAUGGACUCGCGGCCUAUCAGCUUGUUGGUGGGGUAGUGGCCUACCAAGGCGGCGACGGGUAGCCGGCCUGAGAGGGUGACCGGCCACAUUGGGACUGAGAUACGGCCCAGACUCCUACGGGAGGCAGCAGUGGGGAAUAUUGCACAAUGGGCGCAAGCCUGAUGCAGCAACGCCGCGUGCGGGAUGACGGCCUUCGGGUUGUAAACCGCUUUCAGCAGGGACGAAGCUUUUUGUGACGAUACCUGCAGAAGAAGCACCGGCUAACUACGUG